rnacentral:misc_RNA from 1 species
GAAGCGAUGAAAAUGAAUGAUUCCAUGGAUGGAGGAAUGGAUAAUCCUAUACCUGAAGGUAUGGGUAGCGGAAUCGGUGGUGGAAUCGGUGGCGGAAUGGGUGGCGGAAUGGGUAGCAGCAUGGGUGGCGGCAUGGGUGGCGGCAUGGGUGGCGGCAUGGGUGGCGGCAUGGGUGGUGGCAUGGGCAUGGGUCGCGGAGGUGCAAUGCGAGGAGCACGAGGAGGUGGUCGAGGUGGUGGCGAUAGAAAUAUGGCCACUAGAUCACAAGAUGAUCGAUUGAUGGAGCGUGUCAUGGCUAUCAGUGGACCAACUCAUGAGCUUCCACCACAAGAUACGACAGAAAAGAAGUUUAGUGGCCGAAAUCGUUUGUAUGUCGGAAAUUUGACGAAUGAUGUGACUGAGGAAGAGAUACAGACUUUGUUUCAAAAGUAUGGGGAAAUAUCUGAAUUGUUUGUAAACAAAGAGAAAAGUUUUGCUUUUCUCAGAAUGGAUUAUAAAGCAAAUGCCGAUACAGCUAAACGCGAAUUAGAUGGUUCGAUGCGUAAAGGUCGUGCUUUGAAGGUACGCUUUGCCCCUCAUUCAUCUACAAUCAAGGUAAAGAACCUCACAGCAUGGACUUCCAAUGAACUUCUCGAAAGAGCUUUUAGCGUAUUCGGCGAAAUUGAGCGUGCAAUCGUUAAGGUUGAUGACAGAGGUAAAACUACUGGCGAGGGAAUUGUCGAAUUUUGUCGGAAACCAUCUGCUCAAUUAGCUCUAAGGAAAUGCACAGAGGGUUGUUAUUUUAUCACAGCUUCUCUUCGACCAGUAGUUGUGGAGCCAUUUGAGCAACAAGAUGAUGUAGAUGGUUAUCCUGAUAAAAAUUUGCCACGUAAGAAUCCGGAAUUCUUUAAAGCACGUGAGAUUGGACCGCGUUUUGCGCAAUUAGGCAGUUUUGAGCACGAGUAUGGUACAAGAUGGAAGCAAUUACACGAAUUAUACAAGCAGAAGGAAGAAGCACUUAAACGUGAAAUGGCAAUGGAGGAAGAAAAACUGGAAGCCCAAAUGGAAUUCGCCAGAUAUGAACAUGAGACAGAACUUCUGAGAGAACAAUUGCGUAUGCGCGAGGCGGACCGUGAAAGACAGAAGAGAGAAUGGGAAAUGAAGGAGCGACAAGCGGAGGAGCAGAGGACUCGCGAAGAAGAAUUAAGACGACGUCAACAAGAAGAGAUGGCAAUACGUAUCAGAAGACAGGAAGAAGAAUUGCAUAGACGUCAACAGGAAAAUAAUUUAUUUAUGCAGGAACAAGCAAUCCGUAGUGGUGGUGGCAAAAGUUAUGAUUCUGUCAGUAAUAAUGAUCGUGAUGGAUACGGGCAACCUGAUGGUGGAAGCGGCAUGCCAGUGAUUAGUGCAUCAACAGGUUGAGCAGAAACGGAAAUCUGAAAUAUAUAGUCUGAUGUCUUGAAACGAUGCUCACGCUUGAGGUUGUUACAUGAAGUAACUUUACUAUAUCUGAGGAAAAUCCUUGAUCGAGAAGUAACACAAAUUGCUCCGAUAUACGGAAAUAGUUAUGCUUUAAAGGGAUUACAAGGCGCGUUCUCCCAAGAGUAAUUCAGCGAAUUAGUGGAAUGCAUUCUGUGCAGUAUGGUUCAACAAUCAAAAUUUAAUAUUCAAAUAUAAUGACUUUAUAUCUGAAUAAAUAUAUAAUUUUAUUAAUAUCACUAAUGUGUUGAUCGAUUUAUUUUAUUCAAUCAUCUUGGGUAUUUUCUAACUCAUAAUGAUGCAUUAUUAUUUACUGGAUAUAAAUUAGAAUCAGCAAGAGCGAGGAUAUCAGGAUAAAUGGAUAUUGAUAUUUGAAGACGUUUUAGAAAAAUAUAUAAUAAUAUAUAUACAUAUCGUGAAAAAAGCUUUGACAAAACAUUUUAUUGUUAACCGCAGAAAAAGCCAUAUACACUUUCACACGAAAUCGAUCAUAGUUCGAUAAUAAUAUUGAAAAAUUUAUAAUUGAAAUGU